GAUGAACGCUAGCUAUAGGCUUAACACAUGCAAGUCGAGGGGAAACGGCAGAGAGUGCUUGCACACUUUGGACGUCGACCGGCGCACGGGUGAGUAACGCGUAUCCAACCUGCCCUUUACUUGGGGAUAACCCGUUGAAAGACGGACUAAUACCCAAUGAUAUUCAUUGAUGACAUCUGAUUUGAAUUAAAGAUUUAUCGGUAUAGGAUGGGGAUGCGUCUGAUUAGCUUGUUGGUGAGGUAACGGCUCACCAAGGCCACGAUCAGUAGGGGUUCUGAGAGGAAGGUCCCCCACAUUGGAACUGAGACACGGUCCAAACUCCUACGGGAGGCAGCAGUGAGGAAUAUUGGUCAAUGGACGAGAGUCUGAACCAGCCAAGUAGCGUGCAGGAUGACGGCCCUAUGGGUUGUAAACUGCUUUUGUUUGGGAAUAAUCGACAUUACGUGUAAUGUUUUGCAUGUACCAUUCGAAUAAGGACCGGCUAAUUCCGUGCCAGCAGCCGCGGUAAUACGGAAGGUCCAGGCGUUAUCCGGAUUUAUUGGGUUUAAAGGGAGUGUAGGCGGUUGGUUAAGCGUGUUGUGAAAUGUAGGUGCUCAACAUCUGACUUGCAGCGCGAACUGGCUGACUUGAGUACACACAACGUAGGCGGAAUUCAUGGUGUAGCGGUGAAAUGCUUAGAUAUCAUGAAGAACUCCGAUUGCGAAGGCAGCUUACGGGAGUGUUACUGACGCUUAAGCUCGAAGGUGCGGGUAUCGAACAGG
rnacentral:rRNA from 1 species